UACGGGGGGGGCAAGCGUUGUUCGGAAUUACUGGGCGUAAAGGGCUCGUAGGUGGCCAACUAAGUCGGACGUGAAAUCCCUCAGCUUAACUGGGGAACUGCGUCCGAUACUGGAUGGCUUGAGUUUGGGAGAGGGAUGCGGAAUUCCAGGUGUAGCGGUGAAAUGCGUAGAUAUCUGGAGGAACACCGGUGGCGUAGGCGGCAUCCUGGACCAACACUGACACUGAGGAGCGAAAGCCAGGGGAGCAAACGGG
rnacentral:rRNA from 1 species